UACGGAGGGCGCAAGCGUUGUUCGGAAUUACUGGGCGUAAAGCGCGUGUAGGCGGCCAGGUAAGUCGGAUGUGAAAUCCCGGGGCCCAACCCCGGAACUGCACCCGAUACUGCCCGGCUGGAGUCCCGGAGAGGAUGGCGGAAUCUCCGGUGUAGAGGUGAAAUUCGUAGAUAUUCGGAAGAACACCAGUGGCGAAGGCGGCUCACUGGACUGGUAUUGACGCUGAGGUGCGAAAGCGUGGGGAGCAAACAGG
rnacentral:rRNA from 1 species